rnacentral:lncRNA from 1 species
CUGUUUUGGCUGAGAGCUAGGAGGAGCAAGAGAGUGAAGAAAGUUCAAUCUUCUACCUUGAAUCCAACCUCUUGAGUGCAACCAAGAAAAAUUAAACCGAUUAAUCACUAGUUGGAAGCUUGGAAAGCUUAAGGAACCAAGAAUUUCAAGGAGAGGUGAAGGAUCAUUCUUACAAGGCCUUGUCUUGAGGUAUAAUGGCUGAUCAACCAUUCUUUCUCCAUUAAUCAUGAUUAAGUUGGGUAUUAAUGUUGGUAUUGUGUUUGUGAUGCUUGUUUCAAGUGAUUUUAAUGAUUAGAUGGAUGACUUUUGAGUUAGGAUUUCUUGUGGGUUAGGUGUGGUAUGAUGUAUAUAUAUGGUAUAUGAUCUUGUAAAGGUGAUAGUAGUGGUAGUUUCAAGGUAAAAAUGAGAAUUAUAGCUUGAAAUAACAAAAAUUCCAGAUUUCUGGAAAAUUUAGCUUCAGUUCUGCCUGAUUCUAUUUCAUCAUGUUAGAGGCCAAAUUAGGCUUAGCACAAAACAUGAAAGUUGUAGAGAAUGAUAUUUUAUGGUUGCUUACAAAAUUUCAGCUCAAUCAGAUGAACGUACCCUGUGAAAAGAUGAAAAUACCCUGACUGCCCUAGGAGUAAAAUCAGUGGACAGCUUUGAUAGUACACUAAGUUGGUUGCAUUUGUUCACCUUGAUACGUACUGAACUAGCUUUUAGUCAAAACAUGAAAGUUUUAACUCUAUGUUUUAGCUUUCCAAUGCAACUGAAAACACCUCAAUCGGACUUUGGUAGCCUGAGUUAUUAUUGUUUACAUAUAAUACGGUUAACUAGCCCGAAUGUGGGAUUUUGGUUCUGUAAUCCGGACUUUUGACCCAGAUACACUACAAAAUGGACUGAGUAGUCUUCAUCAAAGUUGUAGCACUCUGUUUUAGCUUCGAAACGGUAUAAAUUUCACCCUACUCCGAUAAGCAUAGCUUCGGUUGUGCUCGUUACGCUAAGUGAUGGCAAAUCUGUCUUUUAAUUUAUGCCUUACAUUUCAUUUCCGAACAUGUACCUAGUUUUAUUUUGUAUUUGUAUGACGUUGAGCCUAUUGAACGGUUAUUGAAAUGAGGUUAUUUUAUGUGUGACUUUGGGACUAUUUAAGGAAAAUAUUGAAGUCAUAAAUGGCUGGAAAAUGGGUAAAAACAAGGGGCAUGCCGCCAAAUUUUCACGAGAAAGAUAAACUAACCUUUGGAGUUCUAGUUCUGUAUCUUGCAAAUUGAACUUGGAUACACUGAAAAAUGGGUUGAGGUAUCUUCAUGGAAGUUGUAACCUUUUGUCUAAGAUUUGAGACACCAUCUAGUACAUUUUGAUUUGAUAACCACAGCUCCAGUUAUGGGCAAAAUCGUGUAACCCGUUUUGUACCAUUUUCAUUUUCACGCACGCGCACGUGCAUUUCUCAACUGUUUUUGCCAUUUUGGACCGUUUAGGUCUACUUUUGUUAUUUUGUUACCAUUCCGGCCGUAUUGGCCAAUUUCGACAUUCUUUUGGUCUUAACGUUAUUUUUGACCGUUUUCGACCGUAUUCGAUCGUUUAAGUUAUAAACUGCUAUUGUAUGGUCGUUUCACUUAUGUGUGUAUAUAAUCUGUCAAUACAGAUUGUGAGGCUUUAGACGGUGACGGUCAAGCUCAGUGAAUUGUAUCGUUUUCGUGCCAAGCUUUAUCAAGUGAGUAAUUGGGUUGUUUAUUAAUGUGUAAUUGUUGAAGUACCUUGUAUAUGUUAAAUGGGUACUUAGGCGAUGGUGUACUUUAUCGCACUCGACGUAAUCUCAUCCUUUGUUUUGAUUUUCUACGUGAGAAUACAUGCCUUAUGUUGAGUAUCACCCUCUUGCUAUGUGCUGAGGAGGGGGAUUACAUGACUUGGGUAUCACCCUCUUACUGUGUGCUGAUGGGGGUGAUUACAUGACUUGAAUUAAACUCCAUUUGCUGUGUGCUGUUUGGGGUAAGUACUUUGUUGAGAGAUACCAUCUAUUGAGAGAUCGGAUAUCUCAGGAUUUGGUUCCACCCCGGUUCCAAGGGUUAGACGAACUAUUCGAGCCAGUUGGGGUUUGGUCGAAGAUAGUUCCAUGCUAAACUUGGGAUUUAGUUCCUUGUUAAAGCUUUGACGAAAGCUAAGUUAUUUUUUUCGCUCGAGCUGCUGUGUGCUGUUGACUGGCCAGCGGGGGUUGAUAAGGUGAACGGGGAAGUUUAAGUGGAGUCUACGGACCAUGAUUACUUUGGUUGACGGAGUGUCAAAAGGUGUUCAAGCUCGAGGAAUUGAACUGGCUUUGGAGCCACCUGUAUCCUACCAUUGUGAUGUUACUUUUUGUCAUUGAUGUGAAAUAUCCUGAUUUACUUGUUUAAUUAUGUGAGCUUACAUUUUUCCCCCUGAUUGCUCACUAAGGAUAUAGUUUACCCCAUUCUAUUUGUUUUCCUUAGCAGGGGGCCGACGCGGGGAUCGCUCGGGAAGGGGUUUAGUGUUUUAAUUAUAGACGAGUUGAACUUGUACUUGUUAUAAGUUGACAAGUAAGAUGUAUAUAGUUGUCGUGAUGGUUGUAGUUAUCAGCUUUUCUAGGGUUUACUUUCUGGUACUCGUGGUAUGCAUGACUUGAUGUACUAGGUUGUGCAACUUUUGAAGAUGUAAUCGUUUAAACGGAAUUUUCUUUUGGCGUCAAUCUAUUUUCUAGUUUUAUGAGUGAGUG